rnacentral:lncRNA from 1 species
AGUCUUUUAUUUUCAUCCAUCCCUCCGUCUCCAACUCGCCCUCCGACAUUCAAAAACCAAAGAACCCUGGAUCGAGAGGGCCGCCGCACCAUCAGCCUCAUCCCCCAGACGAGUCCCACGCCAAGGCCCAUGCCGCCUCCGGCGCUCUCUCAGGCCCUAGCAGCGGCCUCGCCGCCGGCCACGACAUCCCCCCGCCCCCCUCGUCCAGGCCUAUCCAGUUCUCGUCGGCCCCAUCCGCGAUGUCGGUGCUCCUGCCCCCGGCAUGAUGUAGCCCUAGAUCUCCCGGCCCCUCGUGCGGN